AUGGCCGGAUCGAGAACCACUUGUUUCGCCAUGAUAUAUGAAGUCGUUUUGGCAGCCGCUGGUAUGACACUAUCAACCAUCAAUCGACCGAACAUUACUCCUUCAAUUGGCGAGCAAACCUCAAUACCAACACUCUUCAACGACCAAAUUGUAUUCUCCCUCUUCUACGGGCAAGAACAAUCCAGACACCAUUGCUUCAGAUUCCAUCUCCAAUUCCUAUGGAAUAACCUGAGAACUCAUGAGAUUUUGGCAUUCUUGAAGCAAACCUUGGAUCUCAAGGCACGGAUGAGUUAA